UACGUAGGGGGCAAGCGUUGUCCGGAAUUAUUGGGCGUAAAGAGCUCGUAGGCGGCUCGUCACGUCGGCUGUGAAAACCCGGGGCUCAACCCCGGGCCUGCAGUCGAUACGGGCGAGCUAGAGUUCGGCAGGGGAGACUGGAAUUCCUGGUGUAGCGGUGAAAUGCGCAGAUAUCAGGAGGAACACCGGUGGCGAAGGCGGGUCUCUGGGCCGAUACUGACGCUGAGGAGCGAAAGCGUGGGGAGCGAACAGG
rnacentral:rRNA from 1 species